rnacentral:rRNA from 1 species
CCUACGGGAGGCAGCAGUGAGGAAUAUUGCGCAAUGGGGGAAACCCUGACGCAGCGACGCCGCGUGAGUGAGGAAGGUUUUCGGAUCGUAAAGCUCUGUCAGAAGGGAAGAAAUGCUGCAUGGUUAAUACCCAUGCAGUUUGACGGUACCUUCAGAGGAAGCACCGGCUAACUCCGUGCCAGCAGCCGCGGUAAUACGGAGGGUGCAAGCGUUGUUCGGAAUUACUGGGCGUAAAGGGCGCGCAGGCGGCCUGAUAAGUCAGAUGUGAAAGUCCACGGCUCAACCGUGGAAGUGCAUUUGAAACUGUCUGGCUUGAGUAUCGGAGGGGAGUGUGGAAUUCCCGGUGUAGAGGUGAAAUUCGUAGAGAUCGGGAGGAACACCGGUGGCGAAGGCGACACUCUGGACGAAUACUGACGCUGAGGCGCGAAAGCGUGGGGAGCAAACAGGAUUAGAUACCCUGGUAGUCCACGCCGUAAACGAUGUGAACUAGGGAUAGGGGGUGUUGAUCCCUUCUGUCCCGCAGCUAACGCAUUAAGUUCACCGCCUGGGGAGUACGGUCGCAAGAUUAAAACUCAAAGGAAUUGACGG